AGCGAACGCUGGCGGCAGGCCUAACACAUGCAAGUCGAACGAACCUUUCGGGGUUAGUGGCGGACGGGUGAGUAACACGUGGGAACGUGCCUUUAGGUUCGGAAUAACUCAGGGAAACUUGUGCUAAUACCGAAUGUGCCCUUCGGGGGAAAGAUCUAUCGCCUUUAGAGCGGCCCGCGUCUGAUUAGCUAGUUGGUUGAGGUAAUGGCUCACCAAGGCGACGAUCAGUAGCUGGUCUGAGAGGAUGAUCAGCCACAUUGGGACUGAGACACGGCCCAAACUCCUACGGGAGGCAGCAGUGGGGAAUCUUGCGCAAUGGGCGAAAGCCUGACGCAGCCAUGCUGCGUGAAUGAUGAAGGUCUUAGGAUUGUAAAAUUCUUUCACCGGGGACGAUAAUGACGGUACCCGGAGAAGAAGCCCCGGCUAACUUCGUG
rnacentral:rRNA from 1 species